rnacentral:tRNA from 1 species
AGUUUAAUAAUCAAUAAUGAGGCUUGAUUGCAAAUCUUGAAGUGGUAUAAACCUUAAAUUU